rnacentral:tRNA from 1 species
UCCCACGUAGCUCAGUUGGAAAAGAAUCUGCCUGCAGUGCAGGAGACCCAGGUUCAAUUCCUGGGUUGGGAA